CGGGGGGACAUGCAUGACUUCUUGCUAUCAGUGUUACCAACAACUUCAAUUGAUAGGCAAAAACACAAAAAAAAUGAAAAUCAGUACCCAAUUUAGCUAAGAUUGAUAGAAAUUAGGAUUUUUCACAUAUAACAUCAUAUAUGCUUAGACAAACACAAAUCUCAAAGAUUUUUAAGGAAACUCACGAUCAAACUUCGUCAAUUUUAGAUCAUAAAAAAUAAAAAAUAAAAAAAAGUGUAGCAAAGAACUUGAAACAAAGAAAUCAAACCUUGGAUGGAUUCUUAAGAAUCCAUCAUGAGAAUUAUCUACUUUCAUUGGGUUUAACCGUAGUAACGGCUGGAGCGGUGGUUGGCGACGCUGAUGGUUGGCCUCGCCGGAUGCAUGGCUGUUGCUGGCGGCUGUUGUGUUGUUGUUGUUGUUAUUGGUCGCCAGUGGUUGGUGGUUGUUGGGAUGAUAGCUGAACGGAGAAAAGGAUGAGGCGGCAGAGGGGCUCUUCGGCGGUGAGGUGACUGGCGGCAGACAUGGCUUGCGGUUUCGCUAUCUGGAGCGGUGGUUAGUGGUGGAAGAAAGAAAAUGACGAUGAAGGAGAGGGCAAUGAGUACCACCGGCUGGUGGUGCGGUAACUGGUUGUUGGCUGGUUUUGUACGGCUGGCCGGCGGCAAGGGACGACAUGGAUGAUUUUUAAAGAGAAAAAUAAAAGAGAAAGUGCAGCUAGUGAGGGUAGAAAAUAGUUAGGGUUUGGUCUUGGUUAAAAGGGGAGAAAAAAUG
rnacentral:lncRNA from 1 species